rnacentral:lncRNA from 1 species
UCCCAGGAAAAGAUUGUACUGCAGGAGAAGAACGUUGUUUCAAGCCUUGGUUCGUUGGCCCUCCUAUCAAAAAGUAAAGUUGUAAUGGAGGAUGAAGACCUUAACUUGGAGGAGUAUGACCUCACGUCUGAGGAUUAUGCUAUGAUGGUGUCUAACCCCAAGAGGUUCAUAAAGAAGAGAUUCCCCAGCAAUAAAAACCGAAACUGGCAAGGGAGUUAUAGUUCAGAAAAAGUUAACAAUGAACCGAAGGUUGAAGAGCCCAAGAAGGAACCAAAGGCAAAUGGUGAUUCUGGAGUAAGCUGUUACUACUAUGGCGGGAAAAACCACUAUGCAAAGGAUUGUGUCCUCAAAAAGAUGGCUGAAAAGGAUGAGGAAAAGGAUGAGGAAGCCUUGUUGCUGAAAAGGCUUGAUGAUAUGAGAAAGAAGAAAUCUACCGCUAACCCUUCCAUGAAUGCUCUAAUUGUGCAGGGUUCGGUUGCUGAUGACGAGUUCGGUAGCGUGGAAGUUUGGUCAACCGACUCUGAAGACGAUGAAGUGAGGAAGCCUACUCAUGGAAAGGCUUAUGUGGCAAAGGAGGAGAGCAGUGGAGGAAGGUGCUUAAUGGUGUCCGAUGUAUCUCAGAUGAGGGGAUACAACACUAUUGGUGGAAGCGAGGAACCGAAGGAGCAGCAGGACAUGUGCUUUACGGCCAAACCACUCAGCCAAUAGUUCAAUGAGCUCGAUGAACUGAUCAAGAAGGUACAAUCGGUUUUUGUUUCAUUUAAAGUACCACAAUCCUCAUAUGAGAAAGAACUAAAAAAUGUUAAUACAAGAAUUUCACAUCUAGAUAGUAGCUUAACUCAAACUCGAGUCACCAAUUCUAACCUAACUGAUCAAUUAAGCAGGGUGUCUUCGAAGAGUGAGGAGCGGCGCAUGUGGAUCGAGUUGAAGGAGUCUGAAUNGUGGCAAAGGAGGAGAGCAGUGGAGGAAGGUGCUUCAUGGUGUCCGAUGUAUCUCAGAUGAGGGGAUACAACACUGAUGGUGGAAGCAAUGAACCGAAGGAGCAGCAGGAUAUGUGCUUUACGGCCAAACCGCUCAGCGUGCAGUUCAACGAGCUCGAUGAACUGAUCAAGAAGGUACAAUCGGUUUUCGUUUCAUUUAAAGUACCACAAUCCUCAUAUGAGAAAGAACUAAAAAAUGUUAAUACAAGAAUUUCUCAUCUAGAUAGUAGCUUAACUCAAACUCGUGUCACCAAUUCUAACCUAACUGAUCAAUUAAGCAGGGUGUCUUCGAAGAGUGAGGAGCGGCGCAUGUGGAUCGAGUUGAAGGAGUCUGAAUUAGUUAAAAUAAAAGACGAAAACAUUUAUUUACAAAGAGACAAUUUAAAGUUGUUAAAACAGCGGAAUGUUUUUUGUUUAAUUGCAAAACGUCUUUAUUCUAAUAUUACUCAGCUUCACUUGGACUGUGAAAUAGGCCAAAAGAUCCAUCGCAUGAUUUUGCCCUUCCUUGAGUUUAAGGAGGAUGAAAUCGAUGCUGAAGCUUAUAAUUGUGAGAGUGUGAUAUCAUCUGAUGACGUCAAUCC